rnacentral:rRNA from 1 species
CCUACGGGGGGCAGCAGUGGGGAAUAUUGCGCAAUGGGCGAAAGCCUGACGCAGCGACGCCGCGUGAGGGCUGAAGGUCUUCGGAUCGUAAACCUCUGUCAGCAGGGAAGAACGGUCACUGUGCUAAUCAGCAGUGACUUGACGGUACCUGCAAAGGAAGCACCGGCUAACUCCGUGCCAGCAGCCGCGGUAAUACGGAGGGUGCGAGCGUUAAUCGGAAUUACUGGGCGUAAAGCGCUCGUAGGCGGUAUGUCAAGUCAAGGGUGAAAUCCCCGCGCUCAACGUGGGAACUGCCUUUGAAACUGGCAAACUGGAGUGUGUGAGAGGAUAGUGGAAUUCCAGGUGUAGGAGUGAAAUCCGUAGAUAUCUGGAGGAACAUCAGUGGCGAAGGCGACUAUCUGGCACAUAACUGACGCUGAGGAGCGAAAGCGUGGGUAGCAAACAGGAUUAGAUACCCCAGUAGUC